rfam:Acidobacteria bacterium 13_2_20CM_2_57_6 13_2_20cm_2_scaffold_126, whole genome shotgun sequence.
CAGUGGGAGGCAGACCCACCGAGGCAAAAGUCAGAAGCCUCGUAGCUUGGAUAGCGGGGAGGAGGGAAAUCGAAUUUCCGAAGCCUAUCGACAAAGCCAUCUUUCAGGAUGGUGAGCAAGUCAUCGGGCCGUAACGAAA